rnacentral:rRNA from 1 species
GACGAACGCUGGCGGCGUGCUUAACACAUGCAAGUCGAACGGAAAGGCCCCCUUGUGGGCUACUCGAGUGGCCAACGGGUGAGUAACACCUGAGUAACCUACCCGUGACUUGGGGAUAACUUCCGGAAACUGGGGCUAAUACCGGAUAGGAGCUCCUGCUGCAUGGGGGGGGUUUGCAAGUUUCGGCGGUUGGGGCUGGACUCGCGGGUUAUCACCUUGUGGUGGGGUUAGUGGCUCCCCGAGGCAUUGUCGGUUACUCGGCCUGGGGGGGUGACCGGCCACAAUGCGACUAAGAUACGGCCCAGACUCGUACGGGAGGCAGCAGUGGGGAGUAUUGCACAAUGGGCGGGAGCCUGAUGAGACAGCGCCGCGAGCGGGAUGACGGCCAUCGGGUUGUAAACCGCUUUCGCCUGUGACGAAGCGUGAGUGACGGUAAUGGGUAAAGAAGCACCGGCUAACUACGUG